CAGAAAACACCUAUUUAAGGUAACAUAGAAGGAAUCAGGCAGGAAGUAAGUCUCUAUCUUCUUUGGAGCAGCUUACCUGGUUUGGGCCUUUGUACCCUGGUUGAGGAACUUAAUGGUUCUAGACUCAAUCAGGGUUUGUGUUUGGAGCAUGCUGGAUUUAAUACUAGCUUAAACAUCUGAGAAGUGUGAAAGAAGACGUUGAGUUACAUCAUUUGCUAAACAACCACAACAUUGGACUUCAAAGUUCGAUACAGACAUUCUUUCUGGCUGAAUGGUUGUCGUGAAACAUCGGAAUAUUCAAGUACUGUUUCUAUCACUCACUUGGUGACCAAGGAUGUUUAUUGCUUUACAAAGUCUACGUUCAAAGAAGACGUUCAUAGGAUAAAGCAAACCAAAGACAUUGGGGGGGAAAUUAUUGCUUUAUUGUAAACUGUGGGAUUCUUGGUGUGGGGAUUGUUGGUGUAGUGUAGGAUUUGCAUAUGCAGGUUACAGUAAGUCUCUUUAAUACACUUGACUCAUGAGUAAAA